rnacentral:rRNA from 1 species
AGAGUUUGAUCCUGGCUCAGGACGAACGCUGGCGGCGCGCCUAACACAUGCAAGUCGAACGAGCGAGAGAGAGCUUGCUUUCUCGAGCGAGUGGCGAACGGGUGAGUAACGCGUGAGGAACCUGCCUCAAAGAGGGGGACAACAGUUGGAAACGACUGCUAAUACCGCAUAAGCCCACGACCCGGCAUCGGGUAGAGGGAAAAGGAGCAAUCCGCUUUGAGAUGGCCUCGCGUCCGAUUAGCUAGUUGGUGAGGUAACGGCCCACCAAGGCGACGAUCGGUAGCCGGACUGAGAGGUUGAACGGCCACAUUGGGACUGAGACACGGCCCAGACUCCUACGGGAGGCAGCAGUGGGGAAUAUUGCACAAUGGGGGAAACCCUGAUGCAGCGACGCCGCGUGGAGGAAGAAGGUCUUCGGAUUGUAAACUCCUGUUGUUGAGGAAGAUAAUGACGGUACUCAACAAGGAAGUGACGGCUAACUACGUGCCAGCAGCCGCGGUAAAACGUAGGUCACAAGCGUUGUCCGGAAUUACUGGGUGUAAAGGGAGCGCAGGCGGGAAGACAAGUUGGAAGUGAAAUCCAUGGGCUCAACCCAUGAACUGCUUUCAAAACUGUUUUUCUUGAGUAGUGCAGAGGUAGGCGGAAUUCCCGGUGUAGCGGUGGAAUGCGUAGAUAUCGGGAGGAACACCAGUGGCGAAGGCGGCCUACUGGGCACCAACUGACGCUGAGGCUCGAAAGUGUGGGUAGCAAACAGGAUUAGAUACCCUGGUAGUCCACACUGUAAACGAUGAUUACUAGGUGUUGGAGGAUUGACCCCUUCAGUGCCGCAGUUAACACAAUAAGUAAUCCACCUGGGGAGUACGACCGCAAGGUUGAAACUCAAAGGAAUUGACGGGGGCCCGCACAAGCAGUGGAGUAUGUGGUUUAAUUCGACGCAACGCGAAGAACCUUACCAAGUCUUGACAUCCUGCGACGGUGCUGGAAACAGUACUUUCCUUCGGGACGCAGAGACAGGUGGUGCAUGGUUGUCGUCAGCUCGUGUCGUGAGAUGUUGGGUUAAGUCCCGCAACGAGCGCAACCCUU